UCCCUACGGGGGGCAGCAGUGGGGAAUAUUGGGCAAUGGGCGAAAGCCUGACCCAGCAAUGCCGCGUGAAUGAAGAAGGUCUUAGGAUUGUAAAAUUCUGUCCUAUGGGAAGAAACAAAUGACGGUACCAUAGGAGGAAGCCCCGGCUAACUACGUGCCAGCAGCCGCGGUAAUACGUAGGGGGCGAGCGUUGUCCGGAAUUACUGGGCGUAAAGGGGGCGCGGACGGCGAUGCAAGCCAGGAGUGAAAGCCCGGGGCCCAACCCCGGGACUGCUCUUGGAACUGCGUGGCUAGAGGGCAGGAGG
rnacentral:rRNA from 1 species